CUACGGGAGGCAGCAGUGAGGAAUAUUGGACAAUGGAGGCAACUCUGAUCCAGCCAUGCCGCGUGUAGGAAGACUGCCCUAUGGGUUGUAAACUACUUUUAUAUGGGAAGAAUAAGAGCUACGUGUAGCUUGAUGACGGUACCAUAAGAAUAAGCACCGGCUAACUCCGUGCCAGCAGCCGCGGUAAUACGGAGGGUGCAAGCGUUAUCCGGAAUCAUUGGGUUUAAAGGGUCCGUAGGCGGGCUUGUAAGUCAGUGGUGAAAGUCUGUGGCUUAACCAUAGAAUUGCCAUUGAUACUGCAGGUCUUGAAUUAUUGUGAAGUGGUUAGAAUAUGUAGUGUAGCGGUGAAAUGCUUAGAGAUUACAUAGAAUACCGAUUGCGAAGGCAGAUCACUAACAAUAUAUUGACGCUGAUGGACGAAAGCGUAGGUAGCGAACAGGAUUAGAUACCCUGGUAGUCUACGCCGUAAACGAUGGAUACCUAGUUGUUUGGUUUUCGGACUGAGUGACUAAGCGAAAGUGAUAAGUAUCCCACCUGGGGAGUACGUUCGCAAGAAUGAAACUCAAAGGAAUUGACGGA
rnacentral:rRNA from 1 species